rnacentral:rRNA from 1 species
CGUGGGUAACCUGCCCAAGAGAUCGGGAUAACACCUGGAAACAGAUGCUAAUACCGGAUAACAAUAGAUGAUGCCUAUCAACUGUUUAAAAGAUGGUUCUGCUAUCACUCUUGGAUGGACCUGCGGUGCAUUAGCUAGUUGGUAGGGUAACGGCCUACCAAGGCGAUGAUGCAUAGCCGAGUUGAGAGACUGAUCGGCCACAUUGGGACUGAGACACGGCCCAAACUCCUACGGGAGGCAGCAGGU